rnacentral:rRNA from 1 species
CAAUAGCGUAUAUUAAAGUUGUUGCAGUUAAAAAGCUCGUAGUUGGAUUUCUGUGAGAGUGCCGGUGUCGGCUGAUGCUUGUACGCAGGCGCUCUUACAUCCUUCUGUUAACUGAUCUUGGCAUUUUAUUGCUGGUUCAGGGCUCAGAUAUUUUACCUUGAGAAAAUUAGAGUGUUUCAGGCAGGCUUAUGCCGGAAUACAUUAGCAUGGAAUAAUGGAACAGGACCUGUGCGUCUUUCGGGGCGCCGGUCUCCGUUAUUGGUUUCGGGGACUAAAGUAAUGAUUAAUAGGGAUAGUUGGGGGCAUUAGUAUUUAAUAGUCAGAGGUGAAAUUCUCGGAUUUGUUAAAGACUAACUUAUGCGAAAGCAUUUGCCAAGGAUGUUUCCAUUAA